CCUACGGGUGGCAGCAGUGAGGAAUAUUGGUCAAUGGCCGGAAGGCUGAACCAGCCAUGCCGCGUGAAGGUCAGGGACCUAUGGGCGUUAAACUUCUUUUGUGCGGGAGCAAUAAUGGUCACGUGUGGCCAGACGAGAGUACCGUACGAAUAAGCAUCGGCUAACUCCGUGCCAGCAGCCGCGGUAAUAAGGGGGAUGCAAGCGUUAUCCGGAUUUAUUGGGGUUAAAGGGGUCGUAGGCUGUGAGGUAAGUCAGCGGUGAAAUGCCCCCGCUCAACGGGGUGAAGUGCCAUUGAUACUGCCUUGCUGGAAUGCGGAUGCCGUGGGAGGAAUGUGUGGUGUAGCGGUGAAAUGCAUAGAUAUCACACAGAACACCGAUUGCGAAGGCAUCUCACGAAUCCGCGAUUGACGCUGAUGCACGAAAGCGUGGGUAUCAAACAGGAUUAGAUACCCGUGUAGUC
rnacentral:rRNA from 1 species